CUGCCCUUCCAUCCCUUGGAUAGAAAGAGAGGGAGGGCAGAGCUUUUGGUUUUUUCAUGUUGUCAACGAGUUGAACAAUGGCUUUUCGUGUUGUCAAAGAUUUGAACAAUGAAAAUAGAUGGCGAGUGCCUGAUCGAAUUGAUCAGGUCAUGUAGGAACAAGGUUCAAGUCUACCGGUCUGUUAGGAUGCCUCAGCUGCAUACAUCACUGCACUUCCACUUAACACCUAUCGUAAUGAUAAACGGCUCGUCUCGCCGUGACCUUC
rnacentral:rRNA from 6 species